ACAAAUAAAAGAUCAAGUUCCCAUAAACUCAAUCGUUAUCAAACACUAUGCUAAAAUAUCUCCCUAGAAAUUGAAAAUUGUUGUACCAAAACAUCAAAUAAGACAAGAAUAUGAGAUGCAAUCCCAAACAAGAUUUAUAAAAUCUAAUAACUUAAAAGUGUAUGAGUACCAAAAGAUGGACAAAGAGGUAGAGAAGAAUCCAUGGCAGCCCGAAAGAAGUAGCUCACCCUUGGACGCAAAUGUCACGCGUCUCACAAAUGAGGUCUUAAUGCAGUCGCCUGAAUAUAUCUUGUACCCAAUAAAGAAAGAAUCUGUGCAAUAUCAAUACACAACCACAGGGUACUGGUAAUAUAUGAAUGUAAAAUUGAAACCAAUUGUUAUAGAGGCUGGCACAGAGAUAGAGACUCAUAAAUCCUCCCCAAAGCACUUAUUUCACAACAGACCUUCGAACCUUGGUGUUUCAAACUAAUCCUUUCACAUCAAGUUUGAUAUCGGGAGUUCUACUCACUCGAAUUCACUUUUGAGAAACCCUAUAGUCUCUUUAAUGUCUUAGUGUCACGACUCAAACUAGACCCUAAACGUGACAUAGCGAAUAAGACCUUGAGAAGUCCUAAAUAAGACACUUGAUUUAAGCAUGGUGUAAUGAAAUACAAGAUACCAGAAUACAACAUGAAAAUGAGAUAUAAGUCUCCAAUCUUUAAGUCAUAAAAGAUACCAAAACAUAGUACAUAAAAGAAUACACGGAACAUCAACUAUGUUUGAAAAUGCCUUUUACUAUCAUACGAGUAGUUAGGACAAACCCCUAAACCACGUAAAAAAUCUAAAACGGAAAUGACAUCAAAAGAAAGAAACUGAAAUCUCUCUCUUGAACCAUGAGGACUCACCACUAGCAUUGAUAUUAGAUAUGGGCAAUCUCGAUCUAGCCACGCGAAGGAGCACCAGAUCCUAUAUUAUGAAACAAUAUAGGCACAAUAUGCAUUAAUAGUUUAAAUGUACUGAGUAUAAAAAAAUGUAUAAAAUAUAGACAUGUCAAUAUGACAAGUUCAAAAUAUGAUGAUACAUGACCAAGUAAAACAUAGUAAAGCUUAUCAAGUCAAAAUUAUGAAUCACGAAACAAGGUCAAUGCAACAUUUGGAAAGUCAUAAGAAAUCUUAAAUCAAAUCAUUGAAGAGUCAUAAAAUCUUCGAAGAAAAAUAUAGUUCUUUUGUGGGAUUUUUAUCAUUAACCAACAUAGACCAUUCAAUCUAGAACUGGAAGUCUUUCCCACACCAAAAAGAGAUUUUCCUACUUGCCAAGGUAAGUACCGUACAUAUUAGCUUAGGUGGAUCCACUAGCU
rnacentral:lncRNA from 1 species